CCCGAAACCAGGUGAGCUACCCCGAGACAGCCUAUGUUAAUUUAGGGCUAACCCGUCUCUGUGGCAAAAGAGUGGGAAGAGCUCCGGGUAGAAGUGACAGACCUACCGAACCUGGUGAUAGCUGGUUGCCUGAGAAAUGGAUAGAAGUUCAGCCUCGCAUCCCCCGAUCCAGUGAAUAUAUCAUCAAGAUGCUCAGGGAGACAUGCGGGAGUUAGUUAAAAGGGGUACAGCCCUUUUAACAAAGGAUACAACCUUCACAGGAGGAUAAAGAUCAUAAUAUAUAAGAUAUGCUGUUCUAGUGGGCCUGAAAGCAGCCACCUAAGCAGAAAGCGUUAAAGCUCGGACAGAGAGAAGUUUAUUAUACUGAUAAGAAAUCUUAUUCCCCUAGCUGUAUCAGGCCAACCCAUGCCCCCAUGGAAGAGAUUAUGCUAAAAUGAGUAAUAAGAAGACACGCUCUUCUCCCGGCACACGUGUAAACCAGAUCGGACCAACCACUGGAACUUAACGAACCCAACCCAAGAGGGUAGUGUGAUUAAUAAAAACCUCAAGAAGACCUCACAUCAACUGAUCGUUAACCCCACACCGGAGUGCUAUCUCAAGGGAAAGACUAAAAGAGGAGGAAGGAACUCGGCAAACACAAGCCUCGCCUGUUUACCAAAAACAUCGCCUCCUGCAACUAGACUGAGUAUAGGAGGUCCAGCCUGCCCAGUGACUACGGGUUCAACGGCCGCGGUAUCUUGACCGUGCAAAGGUAGCGCAAUCACUUGUCUCUUAAAUAGAGACCUGUAUGAAUGGCUAGACGAGGGCUUAACUGUCUCCCCCCUCCAGUCAGUGAAAUUGAUCUAUCCGUGCAGAAGCGGGUAUAAAUAUACAAGACGAGAAGACCCUUUGGAGCUUAAGGUACAAAAUUCAACCACGUCAAACAACUCCAUAAAAGGCAAGAACUUAGUGGCAAUGAAAUUUUACCUUCGGUUGGGGCGACCGCGGAGGAAAAACAAGCCUCCGAGUGGACUGGGCCAAACCCCUGAAGCCAAGAGAAACAUCUAGAAGCCGCAGAAUAUCUGACCAAAAAUGAUCCGGCCAAAGGCCGAUCAACGAACCAAGUUACCCAAGGGAUAACAGCGCAAUCCCCUCCCAGAGCCCGUAUCGACGAGGGGGUUUACGACCUCGAUGUUGGAUCAGGACAUCCUAAUGGUGC
rnacentral:rRNA from 1 species